rnacentral:rRNA from 1 species
GACAGAGGAUGCAAGCGUUAUCCGGAAUGAUUGGGCGUAAAGCGUCUGUAGGUGGCUUUUUAAGUCCGCCGUCAAAUCCCAGGGCUCAACCCUGGACAGGCGGUGGAAACUACCAAGCUGGAGUACGGUAGGGGCAGAGGGAAUUUCCGGUGGAGCGGUGAAAUGCGCAGAUAUCGGGAGGAACACCAAUGGCGAAGGCAGCUCGCUGGGACGGUACUGACGCUGAGACGCGAAAGCGUGGGGAGCAA